UGGAAUGAUGAUGACCCCCUGUGCUGUAUGAGUCGUGCAUGACGAGUGCAUGUCCAGGACUCUGAGACCCCG